AUUGAACGCUAGCGGGAUGCUUUACACAUGCAAGUCGAACGAGUGGCGGACGGGUGAGUAAUACAUCGGAACGUGCCCAGUAGAGGGGGAUAACUACUCGAAAGAGUGUCUAAUACCGCCUACUAUUGGAGCGGCCGAUAUCGGAUUAGCUAGUUGGUGGGGUAAAGGCUCACCAGGGCAACGAUCCGUAGCUGGUUUGAGAGGACGACCAGCCACACGAGGAUUAAGACACGGCCCAUACUCCUACGGGAGGCAACGGUGGGGAAUGUUGGACAAUGGGGGAAGCCCUGAUCCAGCCAUCCCGCGUGUAUAAAAAGGCCUUGGGGUUGUAAAGUACUUUUGGCAGAGAAGCGGUAUCUGAAGAAUAAGCACCGGCUAACUACGUGCCAGCAGCCGCGGUAAUUC
rnacentral:rRNA from 1 species